AGAGUUUGAUCCUGGCUCAGGACGAACGCUGGCGGCGUGCUUAACACAUGCAAGUCGAGCGGAAAGGCCCUUUCGGGGGUACUCGAGCGGCGAACGGGUGAGUAACACGUGAGUAACCUGCCCUUGACUUUGGGAUAACCCUCGGAAACGGGGGCUAAUACUGGGUAUGACCUGGCCGGGCAUCCGGCUGGGUGGAAAGC
rnacentral:rRNA from 1 species